ACUUUUUACUCGUCACCUCCUUCUUGUGACUUUGAGAAACGGAGCUGUCAAGCUUGGGAGAACGAUGGAAUAUGCGAUGAAGCCAACAAAGUCGGAUUUUGAGGAAUCCUUCCUCUUUUUCACAGUUGUUUCUUCCAUCUUCUUCAACCUCCUCUCAGUGAGGAAUUCGCUCCCGGGUCAUCGGUGUACUGCGUCUGGACAAGGAGAAGCCGAGAAGAGACAGAAGGAGAAGAUGAAGCUCAAUCCGUAAAAAAUUUUACGAUGCUCGAAGGAGAAGAUGAAGCUCGGCCUCCAGUCAGCAGAAGUCACUGAUAAGUGAUGACUAAAACUGAAGAGUAAAGAUGAAGAAGUAGGGUUUCAAUUUUAGCAUUUCAACCUUCAGAAUCGUCGAUCGUCAAUCGUCAAUCUGACUAGAGUUUCAUCUGGAUGAAGGGGAAGUUCAUUUUCGGGUUCGAGUUGGGGGAUUUCCUUUAAAAAUUUGAACCCAUGAAACUGACCGGUUAGAAUGGGUUCGAUGGGUUUAUCUAAAAAUCGUCCGAUUUUAUGGAUUUAUCGGUCUAUUUGUGCAUUUUUGGUUUUUUAGUUAACCGGAUUGGACAUAGGUUUGAUUUUCGGUCCGACCGGUCGAACUGUUUGGUCUGAUUCGGUUAUGAUAAUAUUGGUAUAACUCAUGCUGGACAAGGGUUUGGAUUUUCUCUUUCGCUAGAAACAAAAACCCUCGCUUAAGCCAUUGCGAUGACCCAUCCAGCCCCGACUGGAAGCGUUCGGUGGCCUUUCCUCAUCCCUUCCCUUGUAGUUAGCUUUCUUCCUCCCCUACUCCAAGACCGAUAGGAGUGACUUCGGUGCUCCUCCCACCUCUGAUUCCAUCUUGGUAGGUCAUCCCCAACCGUCUCCGCUUGUUGUCUCUGUCGAACUUCCAUGCUACCGAGCAUCUUAAUGUCGCUGCAAGCUCCGGUUUGUAGCCCCCGAUGCCUCCCUGCCGUGAUCUGUUGCUAUUCCGCCAUUCCCACCGAUGGUCCUAAGCUACUGCGACUUCCUUCCUCCCCUUUCCACUGCAAGACUCCAAUUAGAUAGUACUCAUUCUGACUAGAAAUAGUCGGAUCUUGCUCAAAUCAGCCAAAUUUAAGCAUAUCGAGCACGAUAUGACCAUUUACAAUCGGCUCUUGCUCGAUCUGACUAGAUGGAACACGAUCUAGCCAAAGUAGCGUGGCAAAUCCGAUUAGACUUGUCAGUUAGUUGGGUCGGUUUGGAUUAGUAGGAAAGAGUCAGGUCGGAUCAGCGAGUAUGGGUUAGGAGGGACAUUCGAGUCGUGUCGGGCUAUCGGGAUAGAGGAAGCUAGGUCUAUUUAUAUUGGAGCUAUACUACAGUGUCCCGAUAGUGAUAAGGGCCUUCACCCUCCUCCUCUUGGUAUUUGGAGGAUGUGUGUAGUGGCGGCCUCCCCUAUUUAUCGGGACCACACACAAUCCCUCUCUAGCAGCUCAGAUUCCGGACAGCUCGAAUGGUACUCGGGUUUAUUAUGCUUCGACGGCGGCAGUGUAGCGGCUAUGAAGAUAUAUGCUUGUCUUGAUGGUGUCAACUUAGUGGAAGCGCUCUCCUCCACGCCCCUCCAGCCCAGCCUCUAUCUUCGCCCCGCGUGUCAACAAUAGUAUCCCGGCCCAUCACGAUUAUGAUCGCCAUUUCAGUUGGUUUCGGCUCCCCCAUGCCAGUCUCUGGUUUGAACUGAUAAAAAAAGCUUCGAUUCUUUGAUUUGACUGUUUGUCUGAUUGGGUUGAUUGUAUCUGAUUUGAACCGAUGUAGGAAUCCUUAAUGCUUUGCUUUGGAUUCUUUGAUUUGACAAUUUAUUUGAUUGGUUUAAUUAUCGUUGGUUUGAAUAGAUUUAGGAAUCCUUGCCGCUUUGGUUUGAUUGUCCAGGGAUUGGGCUAUUCAUUGUGAUCUGUGAAGGAUUCCUGCACCAAAUACCGAAUCAAGACCCCUUUUGCCUUUGCUUCUUUGUUUCACAUAGCAGUAUUUUUAUGUGGAUUGCAUCUGGUUCUGCUUCUGAACAUCGACUGGAUUUAUAUGGAGUUUAGUUGUAAGAGGUUGUGAAUAUAUAUACGACAACUAGAAAGAUUUCUCUAA